GAUGAACGCUGGCGGCGCGCCUAACACAUGCAAGUCGAACGAUUAAAGCACCUUCGGGUGUGUAUAAAGUGGCGAACGGCUGAGUAACACGUGGGCAACCUGCCCCUUUCAUUGGGAUAGCCACGGGAAACCGUGGAUAAUACCGAAUACUUCGAGACUUCCGCAUGGAAGACUCGAGAAAGCUCCGGCGGAGAGGGAUGGGCCCGCGGCCUGUUAGCUUGUUGGUGGGGUAACGGCCUACCAAGGCAAUGAUGGGUAGCUGGGUUGAGAGACCGACCAGCCAGAUUGGGACUGAGACACGGCCCAGACUCCUACGGGAGGCAGCAGUGGGGAAUCUUGCACAAUGGGCGAAAGCCUGAUGCAGCGACGCCGCGUGCGGGAGGAAGGCCUUCGGGUGGUAAACCGCUUUCAGCAGGGACGAGGCGAAAGUGACGGUACCUGCAGAAGAAGCCCCGGCUAACUACGU
rnacentral:rRNA from 1 species